rnacentral:rRNA from 1 species
GAUGAACGCUGGCGGCGUGCCUAAUACAUGCAAGUCGAGCGAACGGACGAGAAGCUUGCUUCUCUGAUGUUAGCGGCGGACGGGUGAGUAACACGUGGAUAACCUACCUAUAAGACUGGGAUAACUUCGGGAAACCGUAGCUAAUACCGGAUAAUAUUUUGAACCGCAUGGUUCAAAAGUGAAAGACGGUCUUGCUGUCACUUAUAGAUGGAUCCGCGCUGCAUUAGCUAGUUGGUAAGGUAACGGCUUACCAAGGCAACGAUGCAUAGCCGACCUGAGAGGGUGAGCGGACACACUGGAACUGAGACACGGUCCAGACUCCUACGGGAGGCAGCAGUAGGGAAUAUUCCGCAAUGGGCGAAAGCCUGACGGAGCAACGCCGCGUGAGUGAUGAAGGUCUUCGGAUCGUAAAACUCUGUUAUUAGGGAAGAACAUAUGUGUAAGUAACUGUGCACAUCUUGACGGUACCUAAUCAGAAAGCCACGGCUAACUACGUG